rnacentral:rRNA from 1 species
AUUGAACGCUGGCGGCAGGCCUAACACAUGCAAGUCGAGCGAGCGGCGGACGGGUGAGUAAUGUCUGGGAAACUGCCUGCUGGAGGGGGAUAACUACUGGAAACGGUAGCCAAUACCGCCUACCCUCAGAUGUUCCCCGAUGGGAUUAGCUAGUAGGUGGGGUAACGGCCCACCUAGGCGACGAUCCCUAGCUGGUCUGAGAGGAUGACCAGCCACACUGGAACUGAGACACGGUCCAGACUCCUACGGGAGGCAGCAGUGGGGAAUAUUGCACAAUGGGCGCAAGCCUGAUGCAGCCAUGCCGCGUGUGUGAAGAAGGCCUUCGGGUUGUAAAGCACUUUCAGCGGGGAGGCGUUACCCGCAGAAGAAGCACCGGCUAACUCCGUGCCAGCAGCCGCGGUAAUAC